UUCCGGUUGAUCCCGCCGGAGACCAUUGCUAUCCGGAUUCUACUAAGCCAUGCGAGUCCAGAGUGGUUAAGCACUCGGCGAACUGCUCCGUAAUACACAGUUAACUUACCCUAUACUGGGAGAUAAUCACGGGAAACUGUGGCUAAUAUCCCAUAGUUAUAGAUUUCUGGAAUGAGUCUAUAACAAAAGCUACGGUGGUAUAGGAUAGGACUGUGGCUGAUUAGGCUGUUGUCUGUGUAAUGAACAAACAAACCGAUAAUCAGUACGGGCUAUGGAAGUAGGAGCCUGGAGAUGGACUCUGAGACAUGAGUCCAGGUACUACGGUACGCAGCAGGCGAGAAACCUUUACAAUGUGCUAGCGCACGAUAAGGGAAUCUGGAGUGUUCUUGCUUUGCAAGAACUUUUGUUCUCUGUAAACAGGAGAGUGAAUAAGGACUGGGUAAGACGGGUGCCAGCCACCGCGGUAAUACCCGCAGUCCGAGUGAUGGUCACUAUUAUUGGGUCUAAAGCGCCCGUAGCCGGUUUAAUAAGUCCUCAGUGAAAUCUUCUAGCAAACUAGAAGGCUUGCUGAGGAUACUAUUGAACUUGAGAUUGGGAGAGGAGUGAGGUACUUCUAAGGUAGGGGUAAAAUCCUGUAAUCCUGGGAGGACCACUCGUGGCGAAGGCGUCAUUCUGGAACAAGUCUGACGGUGAGGGGCGAAAGCUAGGGGAGCAAUCGGGAUUAGAUACCCCGGUAGUCCUAGCCGUAAACGAUGCCCACUUGGUGUUACAGACCUCUCGGGGGUUUGUGGUGCCGGAGUGUAGAUGUUAAGUGGGCCACCUGGGAAGUACACUCGCAAGGGUGAAACUUAAGGGAAUUGGCGGGGGAGCACACAAGGGGUGGGCGUUGCGGUUCAAAUGGAGUCAACGCCGG
rnacentral:rRNA from 1 species